UACGAAGGGGGCUAGCGUUGUUCGGAAUCACUGGGCGUAAAGCGCACGUAGGCGGCUGUGUCAGUCAGGGGUGAAAUCCCGGAGCUCAACUCCGGAACUGCCUCUGAUACAGCACGUCUUGAGUUCGAGAGAGGUGGGUGGAAUUCCUAGUGUAGAGGUGAAAUUCGUAGAUAUUAGGAAGAACACCGGUGGCGAAGGCGGCCCACUGGCUCGAUACUGACGCUGAGGUGCGAAAGCGUGGGGAGCAAACAGG
rnacentral:rRNA from 1 species